rnacentral:rRNA from 13 species
GAGUUGGGUAGGGGAGCGUCGUGUUCGUGGUGAAGCAGCCUGGUGAUGGGUUGUGGAGUGGAUGCGAGUGAGAAUGCAGGCAUGAGUAGCGAAUGACGGGUGGGAAACCCGUCCGCCGAAUAUCCAAGGGUUCCAGGGUCAAGUUAAUCUGCCCUGGGUGAGUCGGGACCUAAGGCGAGGCCGACAGGCGUAGUCGAUGGACAACGGGUUGAUAUUCCCGUACCGGCGAAGAAC